rnacentral:misc_RNA from 1 species
UCAAACCUCAAGCCUUGCUUGGUAUUGGGUUUUCGUCUUCCCUGCCUGUGGAUUGUAUUGUAUACAAUAUACGGGUACUGGCGUACCUGAAAUUCAUUAGCGGUGUCUCAAUAGACUCAAGCGUAGCAGACUGACUCGCUUUGGAGAACUUUUGUGGGCACUGUCAAUAAAAUAGUUAA